AGCCGAGCUGGGCGGUGUCCCGCCUGGAAAGCGGAAGGUCGGCGGUUCGACCCCGCCCCUGACCA
rnacentral:tRNA from 1 species